CCUACGGGUGGCAGCAGUGGGGAAUCUUGGACAAUGGGCGCAAGCCUGAUCCAGCUAUUCCGCGUGUGGGAAGACGGCCUUCGGGUUGUAAACCACUUUGGGAGAGAACGAAAAGUCUGUUGCUAAUACCGAUAGAUGAUGACGGUACACUAAGAAUAAGCACCGGCUACCUACGAGUCAGCAGCCGCGGUAAUACGUAGGGUGCGUGCGUUAAUCGGCAUUACUGGGCGUAAAGGGUGUGCGGGCGGUUAUGCAAGAUGGAUGUGAAAGCCCCGGUCUUAACCUGGGAAAGCCAUACAUGACUGAAAGACUAGAGUGAGUCAGAGGUGGGUGGAAUUCCAAGUGUAGCAGUGAAAUGCGUAGAUAUUUGGAAGAACACCGAUGGCGAAGGCAGCCCCCUGGGACGCAACUGACGCUCAUACACGAAAGCGUGGGGAGCAAACAGGAUUAGAUACCCUGGUAGUC
rnacentral:rRNA from 1 species